rnacentral:rRNA from 1 species
GAUGAACGCUGGCGGCGUGCCUAAUACAUGCAAGUCGAGCGAACGGACGAGAAGCUUGCUUCUCUGAUGUUAGCGGCGGACGGGUGAGUAACACGUGGAUAACCUACCUAUAAGACUGGGAUAACUUCGGGAAACCGGAGCUAAUACCGGAUGAUAUUUUGAACCGCAUGGUUCAAAAGUGAAAGACGGUCUUGCUGUCACUUAUAGAUGGAUCCGCGCUGCAUUAGCUAGUUGGUAAGGUAACGGCUUACCAAGGCAACGAUGCAUAGCCGACCUGAGAGGGUGAUCGGCCACACUGGAACUGAGACACGGUCCAAACUCCUACGGGAGGCAGCAGUAGGGAAUCUUCCGCAAUGGGCGAAAGCCUGACGGAGCAACGCCGCGUGAGUGAUGAAGGUCUUCGGAUCGUAAAACUCUGUUAUUAGGGAAGAACAUAUGUGUAAGUAACUGUGCACAUCCUGACGGUACCUAAUCAGAAAGCCACGGCUAACUACGUG